CUAAAAUUAAUAAUAAAAAAUUUAUCAAUUUGUUUUGUAUCUUAGUUUAUUGAGGAUAAGCUCAGUAAAAAUAGUAAAAUAGUAUACACCUUACUUAACUAACCACAUGGGCUUGAAAUUAGCCAUUGUAUUAAAGUUUGUUACAAAAUAGUUUUUAUAUGCAGAAAGAUUAAUAUACUUUUUUUUACAGGGGUAACAUGAGAAACCAUGAUAUCCUGAUUCACUUAUGCUAGGAUGAGUAUUGAUGUAUAGGAUAUAUAAACAAAAAUAGAAAGGCAUAUAAAAUAACUUUACUUAGAACAAAAUAAGAAUAAGGAAUUCAGCAAACGCUUAGCUCCGCCUGUUUAUCAAAAACAUGGCUCUUUGUUAAUCAAAUAUAAAGAGUCAGACCUGCCCAGUGAAGAUUUAACGGCCGCGGGUACUCUGACCGUGCAAAGGUAGCAUAAUCAUUUGCCUUAUAAUUGAAGGCUUGUAUGAAUGGUUUGACGGGAGCAUUACUGUCUUUUUCUUACCUUAUAGAACUUGACCUCUGGGUGAAGAGGCUCAGAUACAGUUGAAAGACAAAAAGCCCCUGUCGAGCUUAAAAAGGAAUCAGAAUAAUUUUAUUAUCCAAAAUUAAUUACUGGCUAAUUUUUUUGGUUGGGGCGACCAAGGAACAAAAAAGCUUCCUCUAUUUUCUUAGCUAAUAAGCAUGGAUCCAGAAAAAGCUGAUUAAAAGAAAUAGUUACCGCAGGGAUAACAGCAUAAUCUCUCUUGAGAGACCCAAUCGAAAGAGGGGGUUGUGACCUCGAUGUUGGACUAGAAUAUCCUAAAGAUGCAGAAGUCU
rnacentral:rRNA from 1 species